GGAAGUGCCUGUGGUUCAGCGUCACAGAGCAAACCUCCUUACCUGACUGCAUCAGCCGUGAGUCACCUGCCACCCCAGAAUUGCCGGAAUUGCCGGGCAGGUGGAGACUGAGCCCUCAGGAGUGUGCCUGGCUCGUGAGGCACAUGGCCACCCAGUGCCCGUGGCUCUGGGACUGAAACAGACAGCUGUCUCCAGGCAGGGGCUGCUUGAGCGCUCCUAGCUUCCCUCUUGAAUGACAGACGGUCACCCCAGCCGCCCUCUGUCGUCAGUACAAGUGCCAGAGGGCUCCUUGUGUCCCAGACCUAAAGGAGAUGCUUCCAGGAAGUGGUGAAGAGACAUCAUGCCACAUUACCCUGUUCUACUAGGGGGAAAAAGAGCUAUGUAUGUGAGAAAUUUGCAAGUGGCUUGAAAAUGAUCCAACCCGAUACAAACAAGAAAGGCGAGAUCCAGAAAAUGAAAAUGAUUCGUCCGAGCACACGAAAUGGGCUUCCCUGGGUGUGAGUAUCUGCGAGUGAGUCCAGUCGCAGAGACUAA